GAAUAGCUGCUGUUGUGAAGUCAACUAUGAUUUCUCUACUGAGAAAACGCAUGGUCUGAUAUUCUCAGUAUAGAAAGGAAACAACGGAGAAAACAAUUGACAAGUUUGAAGUUGAAGGGCUUAGCAUAGGAAAUUGUUGCAUAGGAAAUAGUUGCCUGUAAAAUUGAGAUAAGCUCAACUAGUUUAUACAACAAUGAUCUAUAUUUAAGCUGAGUAAUAAUGUAAAGCAUUGUGUUACAAUUCAAGUUUGGAUGAAUAUGCACCAUAGAAGAGUUAGAGAUGAAGGAGAGCAGGUGAAAGCUAACGUUAGGUUUCAUUAGCCAGACAAAAGAGGUAUUUUUUGUUUGGUGCGUCUACUUGGCCUGGGAGGAGAAGGUCUUCUCAUUUUGAAGAAUAUGAAGUUGAGAAGAGGAGCAGGUGUUUAGGAUUGCAACUGAAGCUAGGAAGUAAAAUUAAGUUGCUUUCUUCCUUUGUGUUGUAAUCGAAAUUAAUGGUAACUGAACGGUUGGAGUUAAUAGUAGGAGUUAAUAGGUUGUAGGUUAUUUUGGAAGUUGAAACAUUUUGCUUGUGGCUUGUAAAACAUGAUUAGGGUAGGUUUUUGUGUGCUCAAUGUAAAUUGUAACAUGGAUUAGCGUGACUCAAAAAUAAUGAACUCUUCAA